rnacentral:rRNA from 1 species
UACAGAGGUCUCAAGCGUUGUUCGGAUUCAUUGGGCGUAAAGGGUGCGUAGGUGGCGGGGUAAGUCAGGUGUGAAAUCUCGGGGCUCAACCCCGAAACUGCACUUGAUACUGCCUUGCUCGAGUACUGGAGAGGAGAUUGGAAUUUACGGUGUAGCAGUGAAAUGCGUAGAUAUCGUAAGGAAGACUAGUGGCGAAGGCGAAUCUCUGGACAGUUACUGACACUGAGGCACGAAGGCCAGGGGAGCAAACGGG